rfam:Ipomoea nil DNA, scaffold: scaffold2942, cultivar: Tokyo-kokei standard.
GCGUUUGUAGUCCAACGGUUAGGAUAAUUGCCUUCCGAGCAAUUGAUGACCCGGGUUCAACUCCCGGCAAAUGCA